UGUAUCACAAUGGCUCUUGAAAAGGAGUGUAGCUGCCUAUUAAUAAGUGAGACUAAACAGAGCAUAUAUAAACGGGGAACUAAAAUGGAAAGCACUGCUAAUUUGAGAAGACUGUAGUUGAUAUUUUUCUGUGGCAGAAAGUGAUCUGGGUCUGUCAUCACUUUUUCCUUUAAAGCAGUAGUUCUUAACUGGGACACUUCUCUCUUCUCUGGGAGACAUUUGGCAUUGCCUGAAGACACUUUUGGUUUUUACAACUUGGUAAACGGUGCCUCUGGUAUUUAGUAGGUAUAGAAGGCAGUGAUGUUUCAGAACACCCUAUGUCACACAGGACAAAGAGUGAUCUGAGUCAAAUGUUGAUAGUAAAUGGUUGAGAAACCAUUCUUUGAAGGAAGAAAGAGAAUGUUUUCUAGAAAUACAUUACCUUCUUAAUAUUGAAUCGAAUAUAAAAUGACAUCUAAAGACAAUUUUCAACAUUUCAGGACAGAGCCCCCACGUAAAGUCAAAUCUACUCUCAGGAAGCCUUCAGAGCCUGUGGCGGGCAGUGACCGGCCCUCUCUUUGAUUUUCAAGGAGACCCAGCUCAGCAAGGUGGAACCCUCAUUUUAGGUCCAGGUAACAACAUCCAUUUUAUACACCGUGACAGGAAUAGGUUGGAUCACAAGCCUAUCAACUCUGUUUUACAGCUUGUAGGAGUUCAGCAUGUGAACUUUACAAACAGGCCUUCAGUCAUCCAUGUGUGACUUAAAAUGGAACCAGUCAGUUUCAGCUGGAGCUUUUGGAAUGUGACCUUCAAUGCUGGGUGCAAUAUCCUUGUGCAGUGUCUAACCUGCUGUCCCUUCCCAGCCUUUGAGGACUUCGAGAAGGAUAACGGAUAACGAGGCCUUGAACUAGUGAACUGCAUGCUCAAGAAGCAUCAGUUGUGAAAAAUGUGAUACAUACUUCCACUCUGUA